rnacentral:rRNA from 1 species
GCCCAGACUCCUACGGGAGGCAGCAGUGGGGGAUAUUGCACAAUGGGGGGAACCCUGAUGCAGCGACGCCGCGUGGGUGAAGGAGCGUUUCGGCGCGUAAAGCCCUAUCAGCAGGGAAGAAAAUGACGGUACCUGACUAAGAAGCCCCGGCUAAAUACGUGCCAGCAGCCGCGGUAAUACGUAUGGGGCAAGCGUUAUCCGGAUUUACUGGGUGUAAAGGGAGCGUAGGCGGCCUGGCAAGCCUGAUGUGAAAUACCGGGGCCCAACCCCGGGGCUGCAUUGGGAACUGCCAGGCUGGAGUGCCGGAGGGGCAGGCGGAAUUCCUGGUGUAGCGGUGAAAUGCGUAGAUAUCAGGAGGAACACCGGUGGCGAAGGCGGCCUGCUGGACUGCAACUGACGUUGAGGCCCGAAAGCGUGGGGAGCAAACAGGAUUAGAUACCCUAGUAC